ensembl:miRNA Mir188 microRNA 188
UCUCACAUCCCUUGCAUGGUGGAGGGUGAGCUUUCUGAAAACCCCUCCCACAUGCAGGGUUUGCAGGA